UCUCUAUUGUGUAGUACGAAAAAAACAGAUUCUAAGCCGUAAGCUGAAACCAUCGCUGGAGUAACUUACCCAGCUUGUGAUCUGAUCGAUACUUUAGAGAACAUAUCCUAUUCCUCAUGGCCUUAUCAAUGAGACUGUGCAUUUGUUUUGUUGAUGUCCUGCCUCUUUUGAUGUCUCCUUCCAUUCCGCUCCCUCCAUAUGUGGUAUACUACCGUCUGAAACAAUAGCCUCACUAGACAAGAAUCAACCCUAGCCCU
rnacentral:lncRNA from 1 species